ACGAAGGGGGCUAGCGUUGCUCGGAAUUACUGGGCGUAAAGGGCGCGUAGGCGGCUUGGCCAGUCAGGCGUGAAAUUCCUGGGCUUAACCUGGGGACUGCGCUUGAUACUGCCAGGCUUGAGGCCGAGAGAGGGUGGUGGAAUUCCCAGUGUAGAGGUGAAAUUCGUAGAUAUUGGGAAGAACACCGGUGGCGAAGGCGACCACCUGGCUCGGUACUGACGCUGAGGCGCGACAGCGUGGGGAGCAAACAG
rnacentral:rRNA from 1 species